AAUGUGCAAGUAACAUAACCAUUUAUGUCUUCAUAGGAUGGUGCAUUCCUGAUCAGAAAGAGCACAAAGGACCCCACUAGACCCUACACUUUGGCUCUUAUUUACCAGAAAGCCAUUAAGAAAGUUCAGAUCCGUUACCGGCCGGACCAGCAGUACGCCCUGGGCACUGAGAAGGAGGAUGAAGAUACGUUCUUCAGUAUUCCAGACCUGAUAGACUUUCACCAAACACACGACAUCCUGCUGUCACAAGGAGGGAAAACCAAGCUGACAGAAGCUGUAUUCAAGAAUUACUAACCAAAACAUAGGGUUUAAAGCAAGAUGAAUAAGGGCUACACAAUGUCAUGGAAAAUGUGUCAAAAAGGCAUCUCCCUAGCCUGUGUUACUUUCCACCCAUUCAGGGUUAGAUGUAUCCCAGUGCAUUUCUUUUCUUUGGUGAUCCAAUUUGGAAUGAGGAUUGGGUAGGUGUGGCAGCUUGUACAUGUAGUUAGAAGUUAGGACAAUACAUGGUAGAUAUUUAUGUCCAAACUGCCUGAAGCCCAGAGCCAUCCUCAUAUGAGUUGAUGAAAGAAACCCUAAGGCACUAGUGAUCAAGUACACUAUUCCUAGGGUCCGAUGUUGGGGUGAUUGGGUCAUGUGUACAAAGUACUAAGCAUCCCUCAUUCUUUGUACAGUGAUUUGCAAGGGCAAUCGUUAUAAUAUAGUAUACUUGAUAUUGUUUAUCCAAGGGACCAAAUUUUAUACUGCCAGCGAGUUCCACUUUCAAGUUGGUAAGUUUUUUUUAAAGAUGAUUACAAUUAGAUACAUGUACUACAUGUAUUUGAGGCACGUGUAUCUGUAAUAGACAUAGUUGACUACAUGUAUAUACUGUAGAUGAUUUUAACAUAUUGUGGUAUACCAGUACCUUAAUUAGUCAGACAUUGUUGAAUAUAACAGUACUAGUAGCUAUGGCCUAGGUAAUGCCAGGAGUAGAACUGGGUAAUUUGGUUUUAGUUUUCCUAUUUCUUAUUAACAUAAAGAAAAUGUCAUGCAUUGUAACUAAUCAUGGUUGUGAAGGCCGGUAUGUAAACAAAGUCAGUGCCUCUAAUAGCUAAAUGGACACUCUUAAAGUGUCAAAACGUUUUAACUCUUAAAAGGAUUUUGUAAUCCAUACCUUUUAAUCUGCUGUCGGUCAGCUUUGAAUUUUUGUAUGUUUCCCUUUUCAACAAAAUUGUGAAUAUAUCCAAGGUUUUUAAAUCAUUCAAGGAAUUGAAAUGAAGAAAAAACACAAAAAGCUCUCUGCCUUAACCAUGAAAUAAUGUAUCUUUGCCAAUGUGCUUUUAGAAGCUUUGUUAAUAAUAUGAUGUAUAUUACAUCAUUUUGUGCACUUUUAUCUUUACACAGUGUAAAGAUUUUACACACAUCUAUUUUGUAAUUUAGGCUGAUCUUGUUUUUAAUUUGCAUCUUUGCAGAACCUUUUGGGUUACCAAGAAUGUCAUCCACAAUACUGAACAUUAAGAUAAUUGAUGCACUGAGCACUAGUGCUAGUCUGUAUUAUACACACCUAUUUGCACGUAAUUGUAAGUUAUGAAUAUGAUGUAGAUAACAUAGCAACGCAAUCAUGUACAUCGUGGAUAAGGAAUUGUACCCCAUCGGGUUAACAGUUGGUUUAACAAUUUUUGUAUUCAAUAAUUACACACUAUUCAGAAAUACAUUUGUAGUGCCAUAACUCAAUGCAAAGUCAGUCCUGUUCUGACAUACCCUGAGAGCCAGACUCCAUGGGCUUCAGCUGGGUGUACGUAAUGUAGGGGAGGCAGGUAUAGUAUGGGCACUGAAGCCUGCGUAGUCUGGAUCCCAGGGUAGUUUUGACAGGAGAUU